UACGUAGGCAGCAAGCGUUGUUCGGAGUUACUGGGCGUAAAGGGUGUGUAGGCGGUUGGUUAAGUUUGGUGUGAAAUCUCCCGGCUCAACCGGGAGGGUGCGCCGAAUACUGAAUGACUAGAGUGCGGGAGAGGAAAGUGGAAUUCCUGGUGUAGCGGUGAAAUGCGUAGAUAUCAGGAGGAACACCGGUGGUGUAGACGGCUUUCUGGACCGUAACUGACGCUGAGACGCGAAAGCGUGGGUAGCAAACAGG
rnacentral:rRNA from 1 species